rnacentral:misc_RNA from 1 species
ACUUCUGGAAACUAAUUCAUCAGAAGCUGCAACAUUCAAGAAAAGGCAAUUUGCCAUUGAAGGCAAUUUACCAGAAAAGGCACAAAUAUAUUUUCACUUUAAUUUACAACUGUAAAUGACAAGAAGAAAUAGAAAUUUAAACUGCUUUAAAAACAAUACAAGUCAGUGACUUGUAUUGUUUUUAUAGGUAUUAACCAGUCUCUCUGCAGGCUAAGAAUUCUCAGCAUCAGAUUAUUUCUCGCAGACUACAUCUUACCCCAUGAAUAAAAUGUGGCCCUGAUGUAGUAACACUUACCGUUCGAUUUCGAGUAUUUAUUUUUCACUAUUGACCUUCCUAUUUGAGGAAUUGAACAUGACUCAUAAAAUCCAUCUAUUUCUUGAUAUCUCAGUAUUUACAAAGAACUAAAGCAUAUUAUCAAUGAUUUAUUGCCAUCA